UACGUAGGGUGCGAGCGUUAAUCGGAAUUACUGGGCGUAAAGCGUGCGCAGGCGGUUCGACAAGUCUGAUGUGAAAUCCCCGGGCUCAACCUGGGAACAGCGUUGGAAACUGUCGGGCUAGAGUGUAGAAGAGGGGGGUAGAAUUCCACGUGUAGCAGUGAAAUGCGUAGAGAUGUGGAGGAAUACCGAUGGCGAAGGCGACCACCUGGACUGAUACUGACACUGAGGUGCGAAAGCGUGGGGAGCAAACA
rnacentral:rRNA from 1 species